rnacentral:lncRNA from 1 species
AUCCCACCGAGGCCACCAUAGACCAGCCAGCCCUCAGCGUACAUGCCAGCUAAUUACAGAUGCAGGAGCAAACCCCUGGCCCAUACAUCAAUUUUAAUGUCAUUGAAUACAGAGAACAAAUCUCAUUCACUUUGGUAUCGGCUGGAGUCAACAAACAUUUAAAAAUCAUUUACUGCGUCUGAUUUUGGGAUUUUGGAAGCAUUGCCUUCUACAGAAUCCACAGUAGUCCGAAGCUCUUCUACGGUUUUUGUCAAACUUUGAUUUUCCAUCUCUAGCUUCAAUAAUCUACUUGAUGUCAACUCAUUCACCUCAUGGCCCAGGGAUUUCUGGGGUGCUAUAAUAUUGAAAAAUACACCAUUGUAUUUACUCUUUACUGUUUUUACUAUGUUUACUCUUUACUAUUUAAAAAGUUGAGUGUAUAUGCAUUGCAUCAUCUGAUCCUUAACUUUAUUAAAAAUUCAAUGAGGUUAUAUAAGAUAAACAAGAUAAAAGAAGUAAAUCUUUUUUUUCCUUUUCUUUUUUUCUUUUUUUUAAAGAGACGGGGUCUCUCUCUGUCACCCAGGCUGGAGUGCAGUGAUGUGCUCCUAGCUCACUGCAGCCUCAAACGCCUGGUCUGAAGGGAUCCUCCCACCUCAGUCUCCCAAGCGGCCGGGACUGCAGGUACAGCCAGCUAAUUUUUUUAUUUUUUAGUAAAGACUGGGUCUCUGUUACUUAGGCUGGUCUCGAACUCCUGAGCUCAAGCAAUCCUCCUGCCUUGGCCUCCCAAAGUGCUGGGAUUACAGGCAUGAGCCGCUGCACCCAGCUAAGAGAUACAUGUUUAACUUUUAAUGCAUCCACAGCAUUCUAGUUAAAAA